GAUGAACGCUAGCGGGAGGCCUAACACAUGCAAGCCGAGCGGUAGAGUCUCUUCGGAGACUUGAGAGCGGCGCACGGGUGCGGAACACGUGUGCAACCUGCCUUUAUCUGGGGGAUAGCCUUUCGAAAGGAAGAUUAAUACCCCAUAAUAUACUGGCUGGCAUCAUCUGGUAUUGAAAACUCCGGUGGAUAGAGAUGGGGACGCGCAAGAUUAGAUAGUUGGUGAGGUAACGGCUCACCAAGUCAGCGAUCUUUAGGGGGCCUGAGAGGGUGAUCCCCCAGAAUGGUACUGAGACACGGACCAGAAUCCUACGGGAGGCAGCAGUGAGGAAGAUUGGACAAUGGGUGAGAGCCUGAUCCAGCCAUCCCGCGUGAAGGACGACGGCCCUAUGGGUUGUAAACUUCUUUUGUAUAGGGAUAAACCUAGAUACGUGUAUCUAGCUGAAGGUACUAUACGAAUAAGCACCGGCUAACUCCGUG
rnacentral:rRNA from 1 species